CUCCGGACCGCGCCAGGCUUGGAAACGUGCCGGUUCUCUUUGAUGCCAACAGCCCUCACUCUGGUUUUGCACACAGAGAACCUUCAGCGCAUGGGGACUGGCUGGUGUGAUUCCCAGCUGGAACCCUAACAGAAAUCUUGUGACGCUUCAGUGUGUGCCCCUUGACACCUCACCAAGGCAUCUGAAGAGGCAAGAUCAGCAGAGUAUGUCAGUACAGCCGCUCAGAAGACGUCAGGUUUGAUACCUCAGGAACGUCAGAUUGAGCAGCCAGGAGUGAAGAGUUCUGUUGCACAACCCCGUGAGCCCAGUCUGCUCCCACCUGAAGUGCAAUCCACAAAGGCAGCUUUGGUGGUUGGGACUGAAGAGCCUGAGGGAGGACACUGUUCCUCCUCCUUUAUCCCAAAUACUCCUCCUUGUUUACCUGUGUUGCAGCUUGUUCAGCAGGGACUUGGGCACACUACCCAGAAUCUUUGUCUGGGACAGUCCCUUUUGGGAGCAUACUCUUCCUAUGCCUUGGAGACAGCUUGUGUGGACUGCACUGAGGAAAUGAUGACACAAACCCAGCGUGUGCUGCUGAGCAUGAUUUGUAGCCAAUAUUUUUACAACCUGCUUCUUGUUUUGUAACAGUAUUUAAUUGGCUUUUUUAAAAAAAAUUCAAAACUAGGUCAAUUUGCCAUUGGGCCUUGUAAGACUCUUUAGCUAAGUCUCCAGACUUUACCUAGAAGUUAAUUUGAGCCAGACUUAGGAAAAAUAUAUAUUAAUAUACCCAAAGUCUCACGUGAGAAACUUGUAGGCAACGAUUUGGGAUUCAGAGCCGUAUUCAAAUUCCUAAGACUAAAUUCAAAGCCGUCGUUUAAAAGCGGGCUUGCACGCGCGUAUGUCCUGAUCUUUAAUUAGGCAAAACUCCCACUGACAUCAAUAGGAGUUUGACUUGAAUAAGAACUGCAGGAUCAGGUCCAUAAUUUGGUACCUAGGAUUUGAUUAAGCAGCUAAAUUACUAGAACAGUUUCCCCAUGUGUAUAAUUGCCUAAUUAAUUUUUAAAAUAGCGAAGUUCAGCACUGAAUGUGGUGUACCUCUUGCCACACGAAAUGUAUGCUGUUUAAUCCAAGUUGAUGGAGCUAUUUGCUAGAGCCUGUGGAGUUGAGCAGUACUGUUUAUUUAAAGUUCCAAAAUAGCCACCAUUGUGUUAAAAUAUCAUAUUCCAGAAAAUAUGCUCUUGUAAUAGAGUUCACUUGUAGUCUAGUUUGGCUAUUAGCAUUCCAAAUGUGUUUUAAAGAGUAGUGCUCUCUAUAUCCUACUUCUUGAGUUUUGGCUACUGUGAUUCAUUUUGCAGGUGAGAAAUCACUCUGGAGUCUAGUGAAGAACUUAAUCUCUAGCAGAAUUCUCAAAUUCAGUGCUUUGAAAAGUUUUUUUGUCUUAUCAAUGAUCUUAUUUGUUUUCUUUCUGGUGCCCCAGCAUAAUGCCUGUGGUAGACUGUAUGUAUCAGAAUAAGUGUGUACUGUUUGCUUUUUGAUGAAAUUUUAGUCUUAACACUAUGAGCUCUAGGUGAUAUAUUUGCUGCAAAAGGACUUUCUUUCACAACACAGAAACUUUGUUUUUUGUUUGAAGCAGAUCUUGUUCUGUAAGAGGAAUAGAGAGAUUAUACAUGGGUUUCCUAAGUGGAAAAAUAUUGUAGAAGGAAUUGCAAUGCCAAAAAGUAAAAACUGUUCUCCCUAAAAGUAUACGUGCAUGUGUGCAUGUGUUUGUAUGUGUGUGUCUUGUAUAUAGACAUAAACAAUUACACUUGUAGUUGGCAUAAUGCAUAAUGCCUACUCAUGCUGUUGACAGUUACUUAAUAAUGCACAUUCUGCCAUUCUCUCCAGCUGAAUUCUUAAGGCAUUACCAUGGGAAUUUUCCCUUUUUGGGGAUUGCAACAGAGCUCUAGGACUAGCUGUUUUUGUGAUGUGCUUCUUGACUGGCUGGAGUAGCCCUUAUUCAGGAACUCCAUCCAAGCAUUGCCUGCAGAGAAUGAAACCAUCAGCUGUCCUCAAAGAGGAGCUCCACACUGCAGCAACGCUUAACGGUGAGCCUUGUGCCUUUGAGUCUUUCAGGGUAAGGGGAUCUUGCAUUUUAGCAUGCUCAAAGCAUGGCUAGGAGGUUAAAUUCCAGCAUAUCACUGUAUGAAGUGGGAUACAGUCAAAUGUACUUUUCAGAGAGGUAGCCUUUAGCGACCAUUGUGCUCCUUCAAGGACCUAAGAAUGCUUGAUAGGUAAACAAGGCAACUCUGAAACUGCAGCCACUGCAGUCUGAAACUGGCUGAGGUCUGCAGUCUUGCUGUCUUUCCAAAUGAUAGCUUUUCUUCUGUUCUGACAAUGUCAGAGACUUGUCCACAAAAUAAGCAGUCCUGUACCCUUGAAAAUUAGCAAUUGAAUCCACUCAAAAUUAUGAGAUGGUCCUAAAAAUGAGAAGAUUAUCUUUCAUGUUUAAAUUGAAGUCCUUUUAAAGGGACAGACUUUGCUGUCUUGGUUUGCCAGCUUUCAUUUUGCGUUUAGCUCAUGUCUUGAAGACUUUCUGUGAGGAUUAUAGAAAGGAAUAGAAAAGGUGGAAACUCAGCUUUUGUUAAAAAACGAAAAAUAGAUAACUCUGUCUUGCAGCCUCUUGAUUUCUGCAGCUAAAAUUCUCUGAAACAUUUGGUUUAGCAUCAUUAU